rnacentral:misc_RNA from 1 species
AGAGUAACGAGGAAUCAUUCAUUUGAUUGCCUCAUCUUAAAAAUCUCACAGAAGUAUUGUCUUGACCGUUUACCUACUUAGUUUUCAGUGAUCCAUGUUAUUUGACAUAACAAUUGGGUUUGUAACUCAGCUGGUUAGAGCACACCCCUGAUAAGGGUGAGGUCGAUGGUUCGAGUCCAUUCAAACCCACCAUAUGUAUCACUUAUCUGGGGAAUUAGCUCAGCUGGGAGAGCGCCUGCUUUGCACGCAGGAGGUCAGCGGUUCGAUCCCGCUAUUCUCCACCAGAGAAUGUGCAAAAUCAGAAAAAGAAGUCUGAUUCAAGUACUUGAUUGAAGUAUUUGAAUUAGACUUUUAAAGUCUAAAGUUAUUUGAAUUAUUAUUGUUAAGUCGUCAACUAAAUAUGUUUGACAUAGAGAAAUCUAUGAGAAACAAAUUUACAGUAUAGUGAAUAACUAUACAACGUAACUACAAACACAUUUCAUCGUCUUAUUCUUAAUAAGGCGGUGAGCGCAAAUUAGAAAAAGAUAUUAAGGGCCAUAGGUGGAUGCCUUGGCUGGUAGAGGCGAUGAAGGACGUACUAGGCUGCGAUAAGCCUCGGGGAGCUGCCAAGAAGCUUUGAUCCGGGGAUUUCCGAAUGGGGCAACCCACUGUAUCGAGAGGUACAGUACCCUACGGGGGGCGAACUCAGGGAAGUGAAACAUCUCAGUACCUGAAGGAAAAUAAAUCAAACGAGAUUCCCAAAGUAGCGGCGAGCGAAAUGGGAUAUAGGACA